rnacentral:siRNA from 1 species
CUGAAGUUGGUGCUCGAGCCC